rnacentral:rRNA from 1 species
CCUACGGGUGACAGCAGUGAGGAAUAUUGCACAAUGGUCGGAACCCUGAUCCAGCCAAGCCGCGUGAGUGAAGAAGUAUUUCGGUAUCUUAAGCUCUAUCAGCCAGGGAGCAAAUGCCAGUACCUGACUCCGAAGCCCCGGCUCACUACGUGCAAGCAGCCGCGGUAAUACGUAGGGAGCAAGCGUUAUCCGGAUUUACUGGGUGUAAAGGGUGCGUAGACGGCUGCGUAAGUCAGACGUGAAAGACCGGGGCUCAACCGCGGGACUGCUGUUGAAACUGGGUAGCUAGAGUGUAGGAGAGGUAAGUGGAAUGCGUAGUGUAGCGGUGAAAUGCGUAGAUAUUAGGAGGAACACCGAUGGCGAAGGCAGCUUACUGGACUGUAACUGACGUUGAGGCACGAAAGCGUGGGGAGCAAACAGGAUUAGAUACCCUAGUAGUC